rnacentral:rRNA from 1 species
UGGGGAAUAUUGCACAAUGGAGGUAACUCUGAUGCAGCGACGCCGCGUGAACGAAGAAGGCUUUCGAGUCGUAAAGUUCUUUUAUAGGGGAAGAUAAUGACGGUACCAUAAGAAAAAGCCCCGGCUAACUACGUGCCAGCAGCCGCGGUAAUACGUAGGGUGCUAGCGGUGUCCGGAAUCACUGGGCGUAAAGGGUUCGCAGGCGGAAAUGCAAGUCAGGUGUAAAAGGCAGUAGCUUAACUACUGUAAGCAUUUGAAACUGCAUAUCUUGAGAAGAGUAGAGGGAAGUGGAAUUUUUAGUGUAGCGGUGAAAUGCGUAGAUAUUAAAAAGAAUACCGGUGGCGAAGGCGACUUACUGGGCUCAUUCUGACGCUGAGGAACGAAAGCGUGGGUAGCAAACAGG